AUGACAUUCUGGAACUGUUUUCUGUCAGCAGCGUGGUCUGGUGGCAGGUAGCUACCAGACUGCCCUCAAGGCAGGAAAAGUCCCCUAGCUUUAGAGCUGCAUGUGGAAGGGAAUUUCUCCUGGCAGAGAAGAAAAUGAGGUUCUUUUUCCUGGUUUGGAAAGCAGAGUUGUGAGAAGCAGCUCUCCCCCUUGACCAUCACUUCAAGGAAGCUGUCCCACAACAGCACAGAUCCAUCAGUUUGCCUGGAACGGAAGAAAAUGAAGCUACAGGAGCUUAGUUUUCCUUCUCCACUUUGUUAUUAUUUAUAGUCCAGACUCCUGCAAUGCCCGUAAGUCCCAGCCACAACCCACUGUACAAUUUACUACAUGAGAAGCUGCAAGACAGCUGAGAUGAACAGAGGGUGGACGAAGAAGUGGCUGAGGUAUCAGUACCACAUGCUGCUCCACCUGUGUAUCCAGGACAAGUUAAGGACAAUAUGAACACUGGCAGUGGGCCU